AUUGAACGCUGGCGGCAUGCUUUACACAUGCAAGUCGAACGGCAGCGCGGGCUUCGUCCUGGCGUCGAGUUGCGAACGGGUGGGUAAUUCAUCCGAACGUACCCAGCCGUUGGGAAUAGCCCGACUAAAGCCGACUUGAUACCGCAUACGACAUUAGUUUGAAAGCGGGGGACCGAAAGUCCUCGCGCUUUUUGAUCUGCCGAAUUGGGAUAUCCGUGUUGGAUUAGCUAGUUGGUACGGUAACGGCUUACCAAGGCGACGAUGCGUAGCCGACCUGAGAGGGUGACCAGCCACACUGGGACUGAGACACGGCCCAGACUCCUACGGGAGGCAGCAGUGGGGAAUUUUGGGCAAUGGGGGCAAGCCUGAUCGAGCAAUGCCGCGUGCGGGAAGAAGGCCUUCGGGUUGUAAACAGCUGUUGUUAGGGAAGAAAACCUCUGGGCUAAUACCCCGGGGGGAUGACGGUACCGGAAGAAUAAGCAACGGCUAACUACGUG
rnacentral:rRNA from 1 species